rnacentral:tRNA from 1 species
GUUGGUGUAGCUCAGUGGUUGAGUGCGUGCUUUGUAUGUAUGACGACCUGGGUUCAAUCCCCAGCUUUUCUC